UCUUAUGAUGACAAGCUGUCGCCCCAAACGGAACUAUAAUGACCGAUUCGAUUCAAUAGCCAAACACACUGAAAAUUCUGAUA
rnacentral:snoRNA from 1 species